AGUCAACUGGUGAUCUAAAUAUGGCGUGCCGUUGACGUUCAAGUAACUGGCGCCAAUUACUGGUCAAUGUGUAAAUCAGCUAUUAGAGAUGUACUAUCCGCUCAUGAGCUGUACAUCCGACUCGCUUCAUCAUAGUGAGCGGAUACGGAUCGGCUCGCAAUUAAAAAAAAACGGAGCUUCAGCUCACAUCGGAGCUGAUGAGCUCAGAAGCUGAAGAGGUGUUGAGCUGAUAAGCUGCAGAGCUGUAAAGCCGUUGAACUAAGGAACUGCUGAGCUGAAGAAUUGAAGAGCUGGAGAGUUGCGGAGCGGCAGAGCUGCAGUCAAAGUACGUAGAAUAGAAGGUAAGUGAUAUUACCUGUGUAUACACACGGAGCGCGCACACAAAGAAGAUAGUAAUAAACAAUCCUCAAUUUGUUCGAUGUUCGGAAGUUUUUGCAAUAUUUCUUGUUUUGAAAAGUUCAAAAAAUCGUAAAAAGUGACCAAAUCGUUGGUCGAGCCGACGAUAAUCACGAUAGUGUACCGCAUUUUCACUGCAGCAGUAUGUCGAAGUGCAACGUCCCGCGAUGCCAGAGCAGAAAAAUUUUGAAGAAAGUCGGAUAACUUUCCACCAUUUUACGACCAACAAAUUGUUGAGACGGAAAUGGUUAAACUUUUUCGAAUACAACAGCUCGUUCGAUACGCGAAACAUAUUUGUUUGUUCGCUUCAUUUUUCGCCGGAUUCUUUUGGGGAUACUGUUUUAACCUAUAAUCAGCAAAGAAGACGUCUUCGUACUGGAGCUGUUCCAUGCAUUUGCUUCUUGGAUCUUCCAAAACGUUCCGUUUCAAUGGUUUCACACGAAAUUCCAAAUUUAUACAUUCACUUCUUGCGAAAGUGCAAAAUAUUUAUUUGCAAUCACUUCGGAAGAUGAUCCGGGAUGGAGAAAAUGUUUUUCUCGUUUUCCAGAAACGCCAAUUUGGUCCCUUAAGCGGCCCCACUACGACUGAACACUCCAAACUGAGACCAAUGAAAGCGUCGCGAUGAUUCAUGAUGGAUGCUUCAAUGAAAGACAAAAAAAUCAGCAGUGUUCAUCUUUCAUCAUAUUAUCAAAUUGCGGGAACGACACUGCUUCGAUAUAACCUCUCCACACAUUUGUUCAUCAUUUUUUUGCGUUAUUUUUAUAAUACAAAUGCGAUAAUUUCACUGUUUUUAGUUUUAAAAUGAUUAACUGUUGUUUCAUCCCCUGGAAACAUAUUUUGAGACAGUUCUUUUGUUACAAUUUAAAAAAAAUUCAAAAAUGUUCGAAUUUAUAUGAAUUCAAUCGAUGGUUUAUUACAAUUUUUUGCUUUUUUUCUUUGCCUACCACUACAUGAUCAAAUCAGGGAGGAGACUACCUUCUAUUCUACGUACUUUGAGCUGCAGUGAGUGUUCUGUGAUGCGAAAGAAUUAUCUGUUUCCCGCCCUUCCUGAUAUGACGUCAGUUUGUUUUCGUCUCUCCGUUCUUUAGCUGUAGCAGAGAUGCCAGAUAGGAAAAGGUUUUAAGUUUGAAAAUAUUAAAUCGUUCGUUAUUUAAUUAUAUCUCCAUACAACGCAUUACAAAACAAAAAACUUUAUAAUACAGGGUAGUAUUUCACUUUCAAAAUUGUAUGUUAUAUCGAAUUGUAUAUUAUAUCGAAGCAUAAUAAAAAAACUCAGAAACGUAGCUUAUAUAACUUUAUCGUGUUGCUGUUUGAGUAAGGUUAAUGAAUAAAUUAAACUAGAAGACUUUCUCAUGAUGUUCCCCUUCGUACUGUUGAUUAAGACUUGAUUUCUUUUAGAAUCUGGAAUCACAAAAACAGUUGUAUUUCGGGAUUGAUUAACGGUACAAAACAUGUUUUAGUAUCAAAAUACAGAUAAUUUAUUGUUCUUUCAGAAAAAAAAAAUCCAAAAAAAUAUUCCUGUACCCUUUGAAAAUGUGUACGU